UACAGAGGGGGCAAGCGUUGUUCGGAAUUACUGGGCGUAAAGGGCGCGUAGGCGGCCUGUUAAGUCGGACGUGAAAUCCCUCGGCUCAACCGGGGAACUGCGUCCGAUACUGGCGGGCUUGAAUUCGGGAGAGGGAUGUGGAAUUCCAGGUGUAGCGGUGAAAUGCGUAGAUAUCUGGAGGAACACCGGUGGCGAAGGCGGCAUCCUGGACCGACAUUGACGCUGAGGUGCGAAAGCCAGGGGAGCAAACGGG
rnacentral:rRNA from 1 species